UCAUUCUUUUUCAAAUUUAUUUUUCCAUUUCCUCUCUCUCUCUUCCUCUCGGCAGGAAGCAUUCCCCCUCCCCCUCCUCCAUUUUUUUGUUGUUUUCUUCUUUCUUUCUUCUCCUUCUCUUCUCAUUGCUUCUUCUCAUUCUAUUACUCAAACCCUCAAUCCUUAAAAGAGAUUUAACAUCCCCACAAGCUUAAUUUCUCAAACUCCUACAAAUUCUUUUGGUUGGGAUUUUUGGGGUUAGGGUUUGUGUUCUAAGGAAGGAAAGGGUACCUAUCUCUUGAGAGUGGUUUAUUGAGACUCAUUGAGAUUCGCAAGCAGCCGAGUAGGAAUCUAUUAUUUGAUUCAAGUCUCAACAAACUUCUUUUUUGGUAGGCCUCUUUGAUCGAGGACCAUUUUUGUAACAUUUGUUGAAUCUAUGUAAUUGCAGCUAUUUUGGAGUCUAGAAAGUCUAUUUAGUUUUUUUUUUUUUAGAAGUGUAUUAAGCAAAUUUGAUUAUGUUAUCUGAAUUAUGACUGGAUUGAAAGCUGAACAGGGAUUUUACAAAAUUUGGGAACGUUGAAGUUACAAA